rnacentral:tRNA from 1 species
ACCCGGGUGGCUCAGUCGGUUGAGCAUCUGACUUCAGAUCAGGUCAUGAUCUUGUGGUCUAUGGGUUUGAGCCCCACAUCGGGCU